rnacentral:rRNA from 1 species
GGGGAAUAUUGGGCAAUGGGGGCAACCCUGAUCCAGCAAUGCCGCGUGUGUGAAGAAGGCCUUCGGGUUGUAAAGCACUUUUAUCGGGAACGAAACGUUGUCGGCCAAUACCCGGCAAAACUGACGGUACCCGAGGAAUAAGCACCGGCUAACUCCGUGCCAGCAGCCGCGGUCAUACGUAGGACCCAAGCGUUAUCCGGAGUGACUGGGCGUAAAGAGUUGCGUAGGCGGCUUAGUAAGUGGAUAGUGAAACCUGGUGGCUCAACCAUUCAGACUAUUAUCCAAACUGCUAAGCUCGAGAAUGGUAGAGGUAGCUGGAAUUUCUAGUGUAGGAGUGAAAUCCGUAGAUAUUAGAAGGAACACCAAUGGCGUAGGCAGGCUACUGGACCAUUUCUGACGCUAAGGCACGAAAGCGUGGGGAGCGAAC